rnacentral:rRNA from 1 species
UACAGAGACUGCAAGCGUUAUUCGGAUUCAUUGGGCGUAAAGGGUGCGUAGGCGGCGCGGUAAGUCGGGUGUGAAAUCUCGGAGCUUAACUCCGAAACUGCAUUCGAUACUGCCGUGCUUGAGGACUGGAGAGGAGACUGGAAUUUACGGUGUAGCGGUGAAAUGCGUAGAUAUCGUGAGGAAGACCAGUGGCGAAGGCGGGUCUCUGGACAGUUCCUGACGCUGAGGCACGAAGGUCAGGGGAGCAAACGGG